rnacentral:rRNA from 1 species
AUGGCGGUUCCCGGAGGGGAGGGAGAGGGACGGGGGCGGCCGGUGGUGCUGGUGACAGGUUGCUCGGAGGGGGGCAUCGGGCACGCGAUGGCGCGCGCGUUCGCGGCGGAGGGGUGCGCGGUCGUGGCCACGGCGCGGUCGCGCGCGUCCAUGCGCGGGCUCGAGGGCGACUCGCGGUACCUGCUUCUGGAGCUCGACGUGCGCUCCGAAGAGAGCGCGCGCCGCGCCGUUGAGGACGCCCUGCGGGAGCUAGGCCGCGUCGACGUGCUCGUCAACAACGCGGGGGUCCACCUCGUCGCGCCGGUGGCUGAGGUGCCCAUGGAGUCGUUCCACCAGGUUUUUGACACCAAUGUCUAUGGAACAAUGAGGAUGAUUCAAGCAGUUAUUCCCCAUAUGAUGGAAAGAAAAGAAGGUACAAUUGUGAAUGUUGGAAGCAUUACAGCCUUGGCUCCAGGACCAUGGGCUGGUGCCUAUUCGGCAUCGAAAGCUGCUCUACAUGCAUUGAGCGAUACAUUAAGGGUGGAACUAAGAAAUUUUGGCAUAAAUGUCAUGAUAGUUGCUCCAGGAGGCACAAAGUCAAAUAUAGGAAGCAAUUCUGCAGACAAGUAUGAUCAAAUAAACGACUGGAAGUACUACAAAAAAUACGAGAAAUCACUUCGAGCCAGGACGGAUAUAUCCCAGGGCGCCGGGUGUGUUGCAGCAGAAGACCUUGCAAAGAGAGUUGUCAAAUUGGUUCUGAAGAAGAAUCCUCCGGCUUGGUUCGCUUAUGGCCAGUUCACUGCUAUUCUGACGAUCCUGUAUUAUGCCCCAUUGUGGUUCAGAGAUUACUUCUACAGGCUGGUCAUGAAAAUGUAA